rnacentral:rRNA from 1 species
CCAGCAGCCGCGGUAAUUCCAGCUCCAAUAGCGUAUNUUAAAGUUGCUGCAGUUAAAAGCUCGUAGUUGAAUUUCGGGACCGAUAUAUCGGUCGUGCCUCGGUACGUACUGGUAUUUUCGGUUUCUCCCUUCUGACGAACCUUGAUGUCAUUAAUUUGGUGUCUUGGGGAAUCAGGACUGUUACUUUGAAAAAAUUAGAGUGUUUAAAGCAGGCUCACGCUUGAAUACAUUAGCAUGGAAUAAUGAAAUAGGACGUUUGAUUCUAUUUUAGUCGGUUUCUAGGGAUCGACGUAAUGAUUAAUAGGGAUAUUGGGGGCAUUAGUAUUCAAUUGUCAGAGGUGAAAUUCUUGGAUUUAUUGAAGACUAACUACUGCGAAAGCAUUUGCCAAGGAUGUUUUCAUUAAUCAAGAACGAAAGUUAGGGGAUCGAAGACGAUCAGAUACCGUCGUAGUCUUAACCAUAAACUAUGCCGACUAGGGAUCGGAUGAUGUUAAUUUUUAAUGACUCAUUCGGCGCCUUACG